CUUGAUUGCAUUCAUAGUAUUAACUAUCUCCCUGAUUUUCAUAACAAGGCAUAUUUGGAAAGUUGAUGGAUACAAGCACGGAGAGUCAACAAGGAUAUUUGUGAUGCCAUUCUAUUGUGGGAUGUUUAUAGAUCUUUCGUUGACAUUAAAUCGUCGAAGAAGUGACAAAGAAUAUGACAUAGUUCUUGGCACGGAAGAAGAAGAUGACACAAACAGAACUGAGAAGAAGAAAAUGAGAUUAGUAUGUUGUGCAACAAUGUGGCACGAAACUGCCGCAGAAAUGGA